GAGCUGAGGGUAGGGGUGAAAGGCUAAUCAAACUUGGAGAUAGCUCGUACUCCCCGAAAUGCAUUUAGGUGCAGCCUCGCGGGUUACUGAUGUGAGGUAGAGCGACUGAUUGGAUGCGAGGGCUUCACCGCCUAUCAAGUCCUGACAAACUCCGAAUGCGCAUCAGUUUUACCGCGGGAGUGAGGGCAUGGGUGCUAAGGUCCGUGCCCGAGAGGAGAAGAAUCCGGACUAUCAGCUAAGGCCCCGAAAUGACAGCUAAGUUAAACUAACGAAGUCUGAUUGCUAAGACAGCUAGGAUGUUGGCUUGGAAGCAGCCAUUCAUUUAAAGAGUGCGUAACAGCUCACUAGUCGAGGAAUCGGGCGUGGAUAAUAAUCGGGUAUUAAGUUGUCUGCCGAAGCUAUAGAAUCAGCAAUGAUUGGUAGGGGAGCAUUCCAUUCUGCGUUGAAGGCGUGGCGUGAGCCAUUCUGGAGCGUAUGGAAAAGCAAAUGUAGGUAUAAGUAACGAUAAAGGGGGUGAGAAACCCCCUCGCCGAAAGACUAAGGUUUCCUGAUCAACGCUAAUCGGAUCAGGGUAAGUCGGGUCCUAAGGUUCAGCCGAACGGCGAGACCGAUGGCAGAAACGGUUAAUAUUCCGUUACUACCUUUGAGGGUGACGUGGGGACGCAGGAGUGACACCGCCGCCGGCUGACGGAAUAGCCGGUUAAAGAGUGUAGACGUUGAUUUCCGCAGGCAAAUCCACGGAAAGAGUCGAACUUGACAGUAUGGAACGUCCUUCGGGACAAUCCAAUAGUGCGGGUAAGCAGACUGCCUAGAAAAUCCGCUAAACAUAACUUCAGAGGUACCCGUACCGCAAACGGACACACGUAGUCGGGUUGAAUAUACUAAGGCGCUUGAGUGAAUCACGGUUAAGGAACUAGGCAAACUGACCCUGUAACUUCGGGAUAAAGGGUCCCUACCCAGAAAUGGGAGGGCGCAGAGAAUAGGUCCAGGCAACUGUUUAACAAAAACACAGGGCUGUGCCAAUAUGAAAGUAGACGUAUACAGCCUGACACCUGCCCGGUGCUGGAAGGUUAAGAGGAGAUGUCAUCGCAAGAGAAGCAUUGAAUUGAAGCCCCAGUAAACGGCGGCCGUAACUAUAACGGUCCUAAGGUAGCGAAAUUCCUUGUCGGGUAAGUUCCGACCUGCACGAAUGGUGUAAUGAUCCGGACGCUGUCUCAACCGUGAGCUCAGUGAAAUUGUAGUAUCGGUGAAGAUGCCGAUUACCCGCGAUGGGACGAAAAGACCCCGUGAACCUUUACUAUAGCUUAGCAUUGAAUUUGGGCACGCGAUGUGUAGGAUAGGUCGGAGGCAUUGAAUCGGGCACGCCAGUGUUCGUGGAGCCGCUGUUGAAAUACGACCCUUCGUUUGUUUGAGUUCUAACUUCCGGAUAGAAGGACAUUGCUUGGUGGGUAGUUUGACUGGGGUGGUCGCCUCCAAAAGCGUAACGGAGGCUUCUAAAGGUGCCCUCAGGACGAUCGGUAACCGUCCGCAGAGUGUAAUGGCAAAAGGGCGCUUGACUGGGAGACAGACAAGUCGAGCAGGUAGGAAACUAGAGCAUAGUGAUCCGGUGUUUCCGUAUGGAAGGGACAUCGCUCAAAGGAUAAAAGGUACUCCGGGGAUAACAGGCUGAUCCCUCCCAAGAGCUCAUAUCGACGGAGUGGUUUGGCACCUCGAUGUCGGCUCGUCACAUCCUGGGGCUGGAGAAGGUCCCAAGGGUUGGGCUGUUCGCCCAUUAAAGUGGCACGCGAGCUGGGUUCAGAACGUCGUGAGACAGUUCGGUCUCUAUCUAUCGUGGGCGUAUGAAAUUUGCGUGGCUCUGACACUAGUACGAGAGGACCGUGUUGGACCGACCUCUGGUUUACCGGUUGUGCCGCCAGGCGCAUCGCCGGGUAUCUAAGUCGGGAUCGGAUAAGCGCUGAAAGCAUCUAAGUGCGAAGCCGGCCACAAGAUUAGAUUUCUUGAGGGUCGUUGAAGACGACAACGUUGAUAGGAUGCAGGUGUAAAGCUGGAGACAGCAAAGCCGAGCAUUACUAAUUGCCCGUCAGCUUUCCUU
rnacentral:rRNA from 1 species